AUGCAGGUUCCAUGACCUAUUCGAUACUAGUCCUACACAAACAUAACACGCCAUGUCACCGAAGGUCAUAGCCAUUUGCCUUGUAGCACUUCUCCUUCCCAUCAGCAUAAGCCAUGGUGGUAGAAUUGGGCCAAUUGAACCCAGCAAAGCUUCCAGUAAGGUUGUGGAGAGGGGAAACUACGAUGGUAGAGUGGAAGGUUGCGAAGAAGAUGAUUGCCUAGUGGAGCGUUUGCUCGUGGCUCAUCUGGACUACAUCUACACGCAGGGCAAACACAAUUAGAAGCAGAGGAGUAGAUGCACGUUUGCAAUGAGCAAUCCAUGCAAGAAUAAACCGCCGAGCAGAAAAAAGAAAGCGAGCAAGCUUGACGUUAGAUGAUAAUGUGUGUACAACCUAUAUAUCAUGGGAAAAUAGAGCCGCUGGAUAUCAGGAAGACAGGAAGGAGCCUGAUAUCAAUAAUUAUGAAGAAAUAUGAGCACACUCCGGAAAUGGAAUCAAGUGCGAGAAGGCGUCCAGCUAAGCUAAUAACUGAGCUAGGCGCAGUUCUCUGAGCUACCCAUUGUGUUUUUUUCUAGAGUGGAGAAAGUAUAUAUAAAGUUUGUAUGAAGUUUAAGUGUUUGUAUGUAUGUAUGAAGUUUGUAAAGGUAAUUAUGAACUUAUGUUGUUCGAAACUUGUAACAUUGCUGGUUUUACGCUCACA